GACGAACGCUGGCGGCGUGCUUAACACGUGCAAGUCGAACGGAAAGGCCCUGCUUUUGUGGGGUGCUCGAGUGGCGAACGGGUGAGUAACACGUGAGUAACCUGCCCUUGACUUUGGGAUAACUUCAGGAAACUGGGGCUAAUACCGGAUAGGAGCUCCUGCUGCAUGGUGGGGGUUGGAAAGUUUCGGCGGUUGGGAUGGACUCGCGGCUUAUCAGCUUGUUGGUGGGGUAGUGGCUUACCAAGGCUUUGACGGGUAGCCGGCCUGAGAGGGUGACCGGCCACAUUGGGACUGAGAUACGGCCCAGACUCCUACGGGAGGCAGCAGUGGGGAAUAUUGCACAAUGGGCGGAAGCCUGAUGCAGCAACGCCGCGUGCGGGAUGACGGCCUUCGGGUUGUAAACCGCUUUCGCCUGUGACGAAGCGUGAGUGACGGUAAUGGGUAAAGAAGCACCGGCUAACUACGUG
rnacentral:rRNA from 1 species